UAGCCGUAAUGCUGACCUCAUUCAAC
rnacentral:piRNA from 1 species